AGCUUUGCACAGUGGCAAUAUCAUAGCCAACGAGGUUUAUCUGAGGCACGAUUAUUGCUAACUGAAAAGUUGUUUCAUUUGUGAUUUUAAACAUUUUUGAGCUAUUUGUCAGACU
ensembl:snRNA U4 U4 spliceosomal RNA